CAUAGCGACUAUCGUGGCAUAUCAAUAAGCGGAGGAAAAGAAACUAACUAGGAUUCCCCUAGUAACGGCGAGUGAAGCGGGAAGAGCUCAAAUUUGAAAUCUUCAAGGUUUGACCUUGACGAAUUGUAGUUUAAAGAAGUGUUUUCGGUUAGAGGAGUAGUAAAAGUUCUUUGGAAUAGGACAUCAUAGGGGGUGAGAAUCCCGUAUUUGACUAUUCUUUCUAGCUUUUGAUACACUUUCAAAGAGUCGGAUUGUUUGGGAAUGCAGUCCAAAAUGGGUGGUAAAUUUCAUCUAAAGCUAAAUAUUGGCGAGAGACCGAUAGCGAACAAGUACCGUGAGGGAAAGAUGAAAAGAACUUUGAAAAGAGAGUUAAACAGUACGUGAAAUUGUCAAAAGGGAAGCGUUUGACACCAGUGUUGUUUUUCCGAAAAUCAAUUAAAAAUUGAUUCAUGCCAGGUUGUAUUGACCUUAUCAGCUUGCAAUUUGGUUUUGGGUCUCUUUUUGAUGCACUCUUCGGUUAACAAGUCAACAUCAAUUUCCUUUGCUGUAAAAAGGUAAGAGGAAGGUGGCUUCAAUUUCGGUUGAAGUGUUUAUAGCCUUUUAUCUCUGCAGUCGGGGAGAUUGAGGUCUGCAGCGUAGAUCCUUCGGGGCUAGAUACAUUUAUGCUAAGUUAUAGCUUUUCAUAGACAACUUGUUGACUAUGUUUAGUCAUGUAGCUUACUCGUAAGUGCUAUUUUACCUACGCUUAGGAUGUUGAUAUGCAUGACUGAUAU
rnacentral:rRNA from 1 species